CACCAUAUUUUGACUUCUUCACUUUGACUUCUAUACAUGCAUAUAUGUCCACUAGUUCUAAAUCCACUUUGACUUCCAAAUCUUCACAACUAGCUACCAGUCACAAAAGUUCUCUUUCACUCUCUAAUUGGCCUAAUGGGCUCCAACUCUUGUUCUCUACCUUCGCUGCAUUGUUCGCUCGCCAUUUAGAGUAUGCGGUACCUUGAAGAUCCCAUGGCUCGAUUUUGUAAAGAUCGACAUCUCUGAUGACAUCGAGGUCAAUCCUUCUUGAAUUUAUCUUUUUCCUAAGGUAGUAAUCUACAAGUUCUUCAUCAGUGGGAUGGAACCGAAAGCCAGGAGGUACAUGCGAAAAAGUGUUCAUAUCUCCUUUCACAGAAACUGAACCUGCAAUCCAUUUUGGUUUGAUAGAUAAAUUUAGUUUUGGAAGCAAAUUUACUAUGCACAAAGGCAUGUAUUUAGUCAGACAACCAUGUAAAUUUCAGGCUCAUGCAUCUAUGUAUCAAGUAGAUUAGCUGAAAAUGAUUAUUAUUUAUCUUUCUUCUAUCAAUUGUAAUGUUGACAAGAUGUAGUGAGUAUUCUCAUUUUGCAAUUGAAUAAAACUUUGUACAUGUAAUUAAA